rnacentral:rRNA from 1 species
UACGUAGGUGGCAAGCGUUGUCCGGAUUUACUGGGCGUAAAGCGUGCGCAGGCGGUUGUGCAAGACAGAUGUGAAAUCCCCCGGGCCUAACCUGGGAACUGCAUUUGUGACUGCAUGGCUAGAGUUUGUCAGAGGGGGGUGGAAUUCCACGUGUAGCAGUGAAAUGCGUAGAUAUGUGGAGGAACACCGAUGGCGAAGGCGGGUCUCUGGGCCGAUGACUGACGCUGAGGAGCGAAAGCGUGGGAGCGAACGGA